AAAACAAAAUACUUGGCGCUCAUCCACAGACAACACUGAGGCCCAUUAUCUUCAGUAUGCUCGCCAAGCCAGCUUUGACAAAGGGGAAACUCAGCGUGGCCUCCUUUGUUGACCAGCGUAUUAUUCCAGCUGGGUAUCUGAUGAUGGCUUGGGUCUUACCUUCUGGAGGUAUUUGGCUGUGGCUGACCUUUGUGCAUCUUUGUCAUGGUUCCUGUUGGCCUGUGGGAUACCGAGAUUCCAGACAAACUCUUGCUGAAAGGACAGUGGCCAAACAUCUGUGUGCUGGCACUGAACAGUGACAAAGCU